UCCGGCAGCGGCCGGGCGCGGGUUCUGAGCGGCGGCAGCAGCGCGUGCGUGUCUGCGGCGCCGGCCAACGACGGCCGCGGGCUGGGGCCGCGGGCAGGGCGGGACACGCGGUGGCGGCGCCGCUGCGGGCUGGGUGCGGCGGCGCCCGCUCGGCCAGGGAAACGCCAGAGCGCCGGGAUGUCGCGGCACGGGCUGCCUCGGGAAGCGGCGGAGCCCGGCAGGCCAGCUAAAACUGAAUUAUUUGGCUUUACGUCCUGAAUGUGGAAGUCCAGCACAUGCUUUUGUAUGUGAAUAGUCACCUUGAAAUCACUGGGAACAGCUGUCACAGUCGUGGGAAGCUUCAUGUCUGACAUGGAUCUGAAGCCUUCUGCAGAUGUUUACACGGAACAUGACUUUUCUAAAUUGUGUGCUUUUAUUUACUUUGAUGGGAUUAUUUGCCCCAAGUUAGGUGACAAAAAAGGGAGGUGGAAACCCGAUUCCCAUAAAUGGAGUUUCCACAGUUCGAGCCCGCUGUGCGCACCCCGAGCAGCAGCUUGCCUGUUCCCUGGAGCAUGUGCCAACACUGCCGUCUAGCCUCCACCAAGGCUUUGUGCACUUUUGCUUCUUGGCUGCCUGUGUUCAUGUGCUAAUACAGCUUUGCCAAGCCUCUGUCGGCAACUCAAGGUCCUGUAAUACUGACUUUUCUGUGGAAACAAAGAAUCGUUUGAAGUGGUCACAGCACGAGAUGAGGGAUGGAAGACAGCAGCAAACAGUAGAGGAGAUCUGAAGUGGCAAUGCAUCAAGAAAACUCACAGUCUGUGUUUCCAGAUAGGGAAAUGAAACCCAUCUGUCCAAACUCUUACAAGAUACCUGACAGCACAAGACAGAAAAACCAAUUCCAGGUCUGUUCAGUAUUUCUAAUGACAAAGCAUUUGCAAUGUCAUUGAACAGGGUCUCCUGACAUAUCACCCCCUGACAUGUCCUUUGGGCUCAGUGUUGAAUCCUGUGUGUCUCUCUCUCUCCCUUAUCCUUCUCUGUCUCAUACCACAAAUACAUCUUUUUUACUCUUUCCCCACAGAAGCUGCAGCUUUUGCUUCUUGGUGUGUGGUGAUCUGCGAGCUACUUCUCUGAAAUAGUUUGAAGUGCUGUGUUUAGGUUUUAUAUGCAUAUUUCAUCUGGUCACCUUGGGAUUUUAAAACUUCAUAUGGCUUCCAUUCACUAUGAACUUGCAUUUGUUUACCAAAAUCUGAAUCUAUAUAGCCUUUAGGUUACAGAUGGUAGUGCAUAAAUAAUAAAGAAGAUAACAAAUAUAUAAAAUAUUUUUACUAUAUAUGUGAAUAUAUGUUAUUAUUUUUAAAGAGGCAGAAGGGCUCUAGUUUGAAAUUGCAC